rnacentral:rRNA from 1 species
GAUGAACGCUGGCGGCGUGCCUAAUACAUGCAAGUCGAGCGAACAGAUGAGGAGCUUGCUCCUCUGACGUUAGCGGCGGACGGGUGAGUAACACGUGGAUAACCUACCUAUAAGACUGGGAUAACUUCGGGAAACCGGAGCUAAUACCGGAUAAUAUAUUGAACCGCAUGGUUCAAUAGUGAAAGACGGUUUUGCUGUCACUUAUAGAUGGAUCCGCGCCGCAUUAGCUAGUUGGUAAGGUAACGGCUUACCAAGGCAACGAUGCGUAGCCGACCUGAGAGGGUGAUCGGCCACACUGGAACGGAGACACGGUCCAGACUCCUACGGGAGGCAGCAGUAGGGAAUCUUCCGCAGUGGGCGAAAGCCUGACGGAGCAACGCCGCGUGAGUGAUGAAGGUCUUCGGAUCGUAAAACUCUGUUAUUAGGGAAGAACAAAUGUGUAAGUAACUAUGCACGUCUUGACGGUACCUAAUCAGAAAGCCACGGCUAACUACGUG